GAUAACCACAUGUAGUGCCUCGCCCUGUUUGAGAUAAACGUGUGCAUUGACGUAAUUCACUGAUAGCCACCUGGGCGGCUGCAAACGGGGUACAGGCUUUAAAAGUGGGAUUCAAAGCAGCCCAGUGCUCACCUGUCGAGACAGCCACAAAGGCACGUCCUCUUGUCAGUCUGGCAAGCGACACCGCUCCACACUCCUCUCUCUGCUAGAUGAUAGAAGAAUGGCCAGUACCUCCCGAUCGAGACGGUCGAGCUCUGGGGUGAGGAAUGCUGGCCCCCUGCAUCCGGACCAGACCAGCCUUAGCUGCCAGACCCCAGAGGACAGCACCACCGGGAUCCCAUUUAAGCCUGUACCCUCAGCAGCAGGAAUUGUUGUGACCUGCAUUUGUGGCUCACAUUUUGAUUUUUGGGGAGUCCUGGCCCAAAUGACCUCCAAAGUGGCGAUAUGAAACUCACCCCAACAGCGAUGCUUCUGAACUCCCUGAGAUUCUUGCUAACAUGUGAUGCAUCGGAGAGAACGCCUGCCACCAAGAAAGUGAGAAGAGCAACUGAUUGAAGAGUGCAAUUGAUUUGAAAAUAACAAUCUGAGCCACACUGUAAACUGGUGGCAGCCCGUUGUUCUCUGAAAUUCCGAGGACAGAUAGAGGCUCCUUUGGAACUGAGCGUGCUGAUCCAGCACUUCCCUUGGCUCCCUACCAAGAGCAUAAACAUCUGUGCUUUAAAAAUCUGAACCCAGACUUAAAAAAAACACUCCACAACUUUAAAUACAUUCUACAAUGCUUUACAGAAGCAAACAAAAACAACAAAGCCAUAACAUCACAAUGAUUAAAAAGCUGGUUUUUGUUUAAAACACUCAGCGUGGACUGGACACACGAAUGUUCCUAACCUGCCAACUGAUUUCCCCACAUUAUAUCAGGUGCGCACUGUAAUAUCUGCUUCAUGAGAAGACCAGGCGCUCCCACGGGGACUCCUGAAAGCCCUGCCAACAGGAGAGCGGCCAGCUGCCACUGGGGGCAGGUCGGGCUGGGACAGAGAACUGGAGAGCGUCUGGCCCAUGGACAUGCCCUGCAGAGCUGUGCAGAGAACUGAGAUGGAAGAAAACACUCAGGAUUAUGCGGUGGGAACGAAGGAGAGCUUCUAACCCACAAAUAUGUCCCUAUCGAUCUGCACAGGCUCUGACUUCACACAGAGCUUCACUUUACAUAAGAAAUAGAACCUGAAGUCAGUGUAUGUGACAUAUUGUGAAAAAUCCUAUAUUAUAAAAAGCCCAUGGUCAUGAUGCCCUCACACCAUAAUGACUGGUCACCAGGAGGCUGCGUGCGUGGCAAGGCACAUAGGAUUAAAACAGAAAAAUUAUUACUGAAUGGGAAACCCAAUAAAAAGCCCUAUUAUUGGAAAGAAAAGGAGAUUCUGCAUUCACUUCUAGUUAAAGCUAGAACAUGGACGAUGAAGGCUGUGACCAUCAACUAGAGAGAGACUGGCUGCUGAUGCUGGGAAUUCAGGGAUCAGACAGUUAGAAAGCAACUCAGAGAUUUUAGAGGGAAAAGGGGCACAUGCACAUACAUACCUACACGGAUUCAUGCAAGCAGCUCUCUCCAU